rnacentral:rRNA from 1 species
UACGGAGGGUGCAAGCGUUGUCCGGAUUUAUUGGGGUUAAAGGGUGCGUAGGCGGCUGAUUAAGUCAGCGGUGAAAUUCCACAGCUUAACUGUGGAACUGCCAUUGAUACUGGUUAGCUUGAGUACAGAUGAGGUAGGCGGAAUUGACAGUGUAGCGGUGAACUGCUUAGAUAUUGUCAAGAACACCUAUUGCGAAGGCAGCUUACUACACAGUUAUUGACGCUGAGGCACGAAAGCGUGGGGAUCAAACAGG